UACGUAGGGAGCAAGCGUUGUCCGGAAUCAUUGGGCGUAAAGCGCGCGUAGGCGGCCCUGUAAGUCCGUUGUGAAAGUCAAAGGCUCAACCUUUGAAAGCCGAUGGAUACUGCAGGGCUCGAGUCCGGGAGAGGGGGGUGGAAUUCCCAGUGUAACGGUGAAAUGCGUAGAUAUUGGGAGGAACACCGGUGGCGAAGGCGGCCCCCUGGACCGGUACUGACGCUGAGGCGCGAAAGCGUGGGUAGCAAACGGG
rnacentral:rRNA from 1 species